GACGAACGCUGGCGGCGUGCUUAACACAUGCAAGUCGAACGGAAAGGCCCUGCUUGCAGGGUACUCGAGUGGCGAACGGGUGAGUAACACGUGGGUGAUCUGCCCUGCACUUCGGGAUAAGCCUGGGAAACUGGGUCUAAUACCGGAUAGGAGCCAUUUUUAGUGUGAUGGUUGGAAAGUUUUUUCGGUGUAGGAUGAGCUCGCGGCCUAUCAGCUUGUUGGUGGGGUAAUGGCCUACCAAGGCGGCGACGGGUAGCCGGCCUGAGAGGGUGGACGGCCACAUUGGGACUGAGAUACGGCCCAGACUCCUACGGGAGGCAGCAGUGGGGAAUAUUGCACAAUGGGCGCAAGCCUGAUGCAGCGACGCCGCGUGGGGGAUGACGGCCUUCGGGUUGUAAACUCCUUUCGCUAGGGACGAAGCUUUUUGUGAGGGUACCUAGAUAAGAAGCACCGGCUAACUACGU
rnacentral:rRNA from 1 species